GGGAGGGGAGCCCAGAGAAACCCCCUCCCUUCGUGUUCUGAGGCUGUCUGCCCGAGACCCAGGCGCCCAGGCCAAGCUGGAGAGAUGCGCCCGCCAACAGAAACCGCAGUAUCCAACGCCUGUGGGCUGGAUCCCGAGCCUGUAGGAGCACCCACGAAGCCUCACUCCAUCCCUGCCCGUAUGUCCGGGGGCACCCAGAGAGAGCCAGGAAGCCAGGCUCACCUCCGCUCUUCACCUCGGGAGAACAGGACCAAGUUCCCCCAAAGGCCCAGCCAGGCUGAAUUGGCCCAGAUUAAUAAAGACCUGCCCUGCCCCCACCCACCCA